GAUGAACGCUGGCGGCGUGCUUAACACAUGCAAGUCGAACGAAGCACCUCUCCCGAAGAUUGACACAGCUUGCUGUAGAUUGAUUCAUUUGAGGUGACUGAGUGGCGGACGGGUGAGUAACGCGUGGGUAACCUGCCUCAUAGAGGGGGACAACAGUUGGAAACGACUGCUAAUACCGCAUAGUAAGAAGAAUUCGCAUGUUUUCUUCUUGAAAGAUUUAUCGCUAUGAGAUGGACCCGCGUCUGAUUAGCUAGUUGGUAAGGUAACGGCUUACCAAGGCGACGAUCAGUAGCCGGCUUGAGAGAGUGAACGGCCACAUUGGGACUGAGACACGGCCCAAACUCCUACGGGAGGCAGCAGUGGGGAAUAUUGCACAAUGGGGGAAACCCUGAUGCAGCGACGCCGCGUGAGUGAAGAAGUAUUUCGGUAUGUAAAGCUCUAUCAGUAGGGAAGAUAAUGACGGUACCUGACUAAGAAGCCCCGGCUAACUACGUG
rnacentral:rRNA from 1 species